UUAAAUCGAUAUCAAUUUGAUAAAACAUCGAAAGGAAUAUGACUAAAGCCCAUGAAUAUUUAAGGUGCUAUGUGAAGGAAAAUCCAACCUAGUUGACCAAGAUCCCAAGAUCUAAGUUUAAUGGGACAACCUACUUACAUAGACCUUGUGAGGUCACUGUGGGAGUGAACUAAACAACAUAAGUUACCUAUGUGAGAGUGAAGUGGAGCCGCUUCAAGGAGACUAUUGGGACAUAAUUCUCUAAGCUCUUGCAGAACCAGGAGAUGUCCACAACUAUAUACACA